AUUGAACGCUAGCGGCAUGCCUUACACAUGCAAGUCGAACGGAGUGGCGAACGGGUGAGUAAUGUAUCGGAACGUGCCCAGUAGCGGGGGAUAACUACGCGAAAGCGUAGCUAAAACCGCAUACUAUUGGAGCGGCCGAUAUCGGAUUAGCUAGCAGGUGGGGUAACGGCUAACCAAGGCGACGAUCCGUAGCUGGUUUGAGAGGACGACCAGCCACACUGGAACUGAGACACGGCCCAGACUCCUACGGGAGGCAGCAGUGGGGAAUUUUGGACAAUGGGGGAAACCCUGAUCCAGCCAUCCCGCGUGUGCGAAGAAGGCCUUCGGGUUGUAAAGCACUUUUAGCAGGGAGGCGUUACCUGCAGAAUAAGCACCGGCUAACUACGUGCCAGCAGCCGCGGUAAUAC
rnacentral:rRNA from 1 species